rnacentral:rRNA from 1 species
AGCCAGACUCCUACGGGAGGCAGCAGUAGGGAAUAUUGCUCAAUGGGGGGAACCCUGAUGCAGCGACGCCGCGUGGGUGAAGGAGCGUUUCGGCGCGUAAAGCCCUAUCGGCAGGGAAGAAGGAGGACGGUACCUGACUAAGAAGCCCCGGCUAACUACGUGCCAGCAGCCGCGGGAAUACGUAGGGGGCAAGCGUUAUCCGGAUUUACUGGGUGUAAAGGGGGCGCAGACGGCAGCGCAAGCCAGGAGUGAAAGCCCGGGGCCCAACCCCGGGACUGCUCUUGGAACUGCGCGGCUGGAGUGCAGGAGGGGCAGGCGGAAUUCCUAGUGUAGCGGUGAAAUGCAUAGAUAUUAGGAGGAACACCAGUGGCGAAGGCGGCUUGCUGGACAGAGACUGACGUUGAGGCUCGAAAGCGUGGGGAGCAAACAGGAUUAGAUACCCCAGUA